GAUGAAGAACGUAGCGAAAUGCGAUAAGUAAUGUGAAUUGCAGAAUUCAGUGAAUCAUCGAAUCUUUGAACGCGCAUUGCGACCCUUGGUAUUCCGGGGGGCAUGCCUCUUCCAGCGUCAUUUCACCCCUCAAGCUCUGCUUGGUUUUGGGCCGCGCCGGCAACGGCGGGCCUCGAAAAUAGUGGCGACGCCAUCGUGCUCUCAGCGUAGUAAUUCUUCUCGCUGUUGGGUCCCGGUGGUCGUCCGCCAGCAACCCCCAACUUUCUUAAGUUUGACCUGGGAUGAGGUAGGGAUACCCGCUGAACUUAAGCAUAUCAAUAAGCGGAGGA
rnacentral:misc_RNA from 1 species